AUGCUUAGUACAUUCGAUGUAAACGCGCCCGUACUAAGGCUUUGGUGCGCACCAAACUUAAUACGCGUACUAAGGUUUUGACGAUGUAAACUAAGCCUAUAGGUCUUUACAUCUGAGGACAUUCGGGUGAGGAAUCUGAACGCACCCAUGUAUGCCUAUACCCCCACUCCUAAACCGCGAGCACAGGCCUGUAAAAAAUAGACAUAUAACCUACGAAGUUAAAUCCGCAACAGCCCAAUUUCAGCGGAUUUAGUGAUUAAUUAAAGCGUGGUACUUCGUCCCGGGAGGGGCAGAAAUCCAUUCGGGCCUCUGAAGAAGAAGAAAAUAGACAUCUGAUUCCAAGGCCAAAAAUUUGAGUAUUUACAAAAGGAGAAUGUCCAAAAUAUAUGGGAAUGUAGUGAAUAACGAUCAAAUCUAUAUUAGAGAAAUAGUUUCCGAAACUAUAGUUUAAUUUUGUCAUAAAUAUUUUUCUCUAUUUAGUGUCUGGAACAAAAUAUACAAAAUAUUCUGUGUUAAUGCCCACUUUGAAUAGCUUGUAAAUAUAAUGAAUUUUAUUUAUGUUGAAUAAAUUUUUAGUAGAAAAAUGUGGGGCAUUACUUUUUGAACAAUCCUAGUAUAUCUUUCUUUGAAGAGUUUGGAUAAAGAUGUGCUCAGAAAUGAAUUAGAAAUAUUCGCGAAUUAGAAGUAUUUUUGGUAUAGAUUUUAUUCGUAUCUGCUCGCGAGCCAUUUCGAGCAAUCUUUUAUUGUUGUUUAGGAAAAAAAGAGAA